ensembl:lncRNA
AUGAAUUGGACCAACCAUAGGUUCCAGGACUGGAGAGCCAGCAAUGCCUCCCUGGACAAUCCCACUCAAUUACUCUGCUCAGAGAACAUCACCACCCUGAAGCCAGAGACUAACCCUGAAGGACUCAGCAGUCUAAGCACAGCAGCCACAGCCCUUUCUGGCUCCAUUGCUGUGGUGGCCCCCAUCUUGCUCCUGGUGGGUCUCUUGUCCAUGACCCUGAAGAAAUGGAGGCAUGAGAGUGAGUUGAACAAGCUGGCCCUGGAACUGGGAAUGAAGAGAGGAGAAACUGGGGGCAGAGACUGGGGUGUCUUCCCUACGGGCAGCCUUGUCGGAGUAGGGGGCAGGUAGUGGGAGGGUAAUAUGAAGGAGAUAUGAAGAGGGGACCUCUUCUGUAGAGUUGUUGGGGACUCUGCACAGCAAUAAGACUUACUCAUCACGCAAGUUCUUCAUGCUGAAAGCGAUAUAUAGUAUAAGCCAUCUGCAUAUAUGCUUAUGGUCUACAUGCCUCAGCUAAAAGAAAUAUUGAUGCCAAAUAAUCUCUUCUAAAUCAUAAACAAAAUUAUAAAUUAUAAAGUGUACUCAUUUCUCCUGUGUCUUCCUGGGAAUUUAACUUAGUCUCAGAGGCCCAAUAGGCUGAGUGAGGUGGAUUUUGCAUUUUGAAGUUAAGCCCUAAAUCCAGCAAACAACUGAGUAAAGAUGGUUAUUAACCCAACACAGACUGACUCUGAGUUUAUCCAUUUUUCUAGGACUAUUUAAGAAACAACUGAGGCAUCAGGCCAACUUUCCCCACUAGUCCUCGGUAAGGAGCUAGUCCAGUCGCACGUAGAGGGGGGCUCCUGGCCUCCUUGCUGCUUCCUACCUACCUAGACCCCACAGAGAGGGUGGUGGGAUGAGGCAGGGGGCAGAUCUGGAGGAAAUGUUUCUGAAAACAGAUCUAGGGCUUGUGCAGCAAGAACUCAGCAUUCUACUUGCUGUCCUGUAGGGACAGCCUAGUGCCUGGUUUUGUCUUUGGGAGUCCCUGGCGCCCAGCGGUCUGCCUCUAACCAGGGUUCUGUCUCUAAAGGAUCUUUCCCGCCAUGCCGAUGCCAUAUAUUCCAACGUGAUCAACCUGGCCCCCCAGAAGGAGGAUGACUUUGCUGUCUAUGCCAACAUGCCCCCUUUUCAUCACCCCAGGAGGACAUCGCCAGACCAAGUGGAAUAUGCCUCCAUUGAAUUCCACUGAUGGGAAGCCAACGAGAUGCUCAGAGUGGGGGUCAGACCUGGCCCAGCUGGAUCGUGGCAUACCCUUUGCUUUAGAUUUAUAGGCCGGGAGCAGUGGCUCACACUUGUAUCCCUGGAGGCUAAGGCAGGCAGAUCAUGAGGUCAAGAUAUCGAGACCAUCCUGGCCAACAUGGUGAAACCCCAUCUCUACUAAAGAUACAAAAAUUAGCCAGACGUGGUGGCACAUGCCUGUAAUCCCAGCUACUUGGGAGGCUGAGGCAGGAGAAUCACUUGAACCCAGGGGGCGGAAGUUGCAGUGAGCCAAGAUCACACCACUGCACUCCAGCCUGGCAACAGAGUAAGACUCCAUCUCUAAAAAAAAUACAUAAAUAAAAUAAAACAAAAAACAAACAAAAAAACAUAAAAACAUAUUCUGAGGGAGGUGGAUGGCUGGACGUUUCUUUUAAUUUAUUAGACUCAAAGUACAGUUCUAAUAGGAAGGAGUGACAUACAAGAGACACAGGACAUGCUCAUCCAGACCACCCCCAGCCCCAGAGGCACGGGGUGAGACAGACUGGCCAAUAAGGGAACCCUCUGAGCUCCUGCCCCUCCUGGGGCAGAAGGGCUGAGGAGGAGGAUUCAGACCAUUUCAGGCCCAGCUGCUUUCGUCUCUCCAGUCUCGCCCUAUCAGGAGUUAACACCCCGUGGGAGUCAACUUAGGAGUCAUGCUCAUGUCUGUGAUCAAGUGCGUGGCUGACUGCCUGCUGUGUCUGCACAGUACAAUUGCUGGACAAUAUGCCAGGUGUAGGGGAGGAGGCACAGCGGGGCUGCAGGUGCCUGGAAAGUGCUUCCUACUGAGGAAUUGGUGAGCUCCCAGGAAGCAUGGGGGCCGCCUGAGAAAGAGGGCAGGGAAGGAGUGCCAAGCGGGAAGUGGGCUGUGUGUCAUCGCUGGCCAGAGACAGCUCCCGUGGGAACUGUGGUAGACGACUGGAACUUUACAAUUGAUUCACUCCUUCUUUUCAUCAUUCACAAAUACUCAUUAAGCACUUCCAUGAUCUAGGUCCUGGGAAUAUAGCAGUGAACCCAACAGACAAAGCCUUGUCCUCACAGAGCUUACUUUCUAGAAUGAACAAAGAAACACACAAACACACAAAAUGUCAGAUGGUGGGAUGUGCUAUGGGGAAAUAAAGCAAGCAUUCUCUACCCUACACUUCCUUGUAAGAGGUGAGAUUGCUAGUUUGUAUCAGGUGUUCAGGGAAGGUCUCACUGACAUCUGACCUAAAAAAAAAGGUAAGAAUGUGACACCUGAUGAUAAAUAGGGAAAGAGUAUUUCAGACAGGAGGAAAGGCAGUGCAAAGGCCCGGAGGUAGACGGGUACCUGGCAUGGUCAAAGAAAAGCGAGGAGGUGAAUGUGUCUGGAGUGGAGCUGGGGGAUCGCAGGGGUCAGAGCAACGAUGUGGAGGGAGUCAGGGUUCUUCACUAUUAGGAGGGGGCUUGGAAAAUGGAAAGUUUCCAGCAUGGCUUGUGUUUUGAAAAGAUUUUUCUGUAUUGAGCCAGACUGUAGGGGCGAGAGCGGAAGUAGAGAAGGUAGUAAUGCAGGAAUGCCCAGUGGUUAAACCCUCAAAACAAAAGGACUUGCAUGCUUCUCUGGAGACAGCUAGAAGGCAGGACGCCAGGCAGAAGAGAGAAAUCCAUAUUGAGGUCAGUCUCUGGAUGGCAGGGACCCCAUAGACUGGACCAAUGGUGGCAGUGGGAAAGGUGCCUGGGGAGGCUGGUCAAAGAUUAACAAGGCCAGAAGCCUUCUACCUUGAGUCUUGCUCUGGCAACCCCACCUCUUCUUUCAUCUUCUUCCACCUAGGGAGAAGUCUAAUGGGCUUGAUAGAGGUGGUGAGAGGAUAGGGACAGGCAAGUCCUGCCUGUGGGACAACAGGGAUCCGGGACUCAACAAGUCUUA